AACGAACGCUGGCGGCAGGCUUAACACAUGCAAGUCGAGCGCCCCGCAAGGGGAGCGGCAGACGGGUGAGUAACGCGUGGGAACAUACCCUCCGGUUCGGAAUAACUCAGGGAAACUUGAGCUAAUACCGGAUACGGCUGAGAGGCGAAAGAUUUAUCGCCGGAGGAUUGGCCCGCGUCCGAUUAGCUAGUUGGUGUGGUAACGGCGCACCAAGGCGACGAUCGGUAGCUGGUCUGAGAGGAUGAUCAGCCACAUUGGGACUGAGACACGGCCCAAACUCCUACGGGAGGCAGCAGUGGGGAAUAUUGGACAAUGGGCGCAAGCCUGAUCCAGCCAUGCCGCGUGAGUGAUGAAGGCCUUAGGGUUGUAAAGCUCUUUCAGCUGGGAAGAUAAUGACGGUACCAGCAGAAGAAGCCCCGGCUAACUCCGUGCCAGCCGCCGCCGUAAAAC
rnacentral:rRNA from 1 species